rnacentral:rRNA from 1 species
AGAUUGAACGCUGGCGGCAUGCUUUACACAUGCAAGUCGAACGGUAACAGGCCGCAAGGUGCUGACGAGUGGCGAACGGGUGAGUAAUGCAUCGGAACGUGCCCAGUCGUGGGGGAUAACGCAGCGAAAGCUGUGCUAAUACCGCAUACGAUCUAUGGAUGAAAGCGGGGGACCGAAAGGCCUCGCGCGAUUGGAGCGGCCGAUGUCAGAUUAGCUAGUUGGUGGGGUAAAGGCCCACCAAGGCGACGAUCUGUAGCUGGUCUGAGAGGACGACCAGCCACACUGGAACUGAGACACGGUCCAGACUCCUACGGGA